GGCCCCCCAAACCAACCCCUAAUCUAUCCCUAAUCAAAGAAGUCACUUGUCUCCGGGGUUCAACAAAAAUCAGAACCCGUUCAGGUAUACCGGUGCCUGUGAGGCUAUCAGCCACGGAUUUUUGGGUGGUUUGCCGUAUCAGAAUCUGUCUGCCCCAGGACAGACUAGGAGUUGCUUGUCGCCUUGGGUUUCACCUGACGCUACUGCAUACACAACGACAGCGGCCAGGCAAUGUCAUGUCAACAGACACAAUUCGGCAGUCUCGAGGGGGCCUAGGCGGGUGGCGCACCAGGCGGGAGUCGGCCACACUCCCAUCCAUGCUUGUUAGUUAUUAGUUAUGCUGAUUGCGAUUCAUUGUGCAUUGAAUCCCCCGUGGGGUGAAGGUGAAGAAUGCGAGUUGGACGCUCAUGCGUGGAAAAUCGCCACGUGAGAAGGAUAAAACGCACUCGAAUAAUAUCUCAGAGAUGGGUUGGGUAAGGUCCCCCCCACCUUACCUUAAGGAUUGAUCUACCCCGUUCCGAAGCAAACCCGUGCAGUGCAUGGACUUUCUCAGCAGUGGAGGGGCAGAGGGUUGGUUCAGAUACCUGUCAGUCAAGGAGUAUACAACCAUUCAGAUGGGGAAAAGCAAUUGUUGCUGAUAUUCGCAUGUAUGGAGUUUUUGACAGAUUAGGGAUUGAGUCUCAUGGGUAGCUAGCCGAUUGUAGCAACUCGAUUUGGAAUGGAGAUGUAUGGAGAUGUAGCGGGCGCCUAGAAUCAGAUAUAGCCAGAUUUUUCCAGACACUGGCACUCUUAUCACGGUUUUGGACAGAAUUCCAGCCGCCCCUGUUGUAUACUCCGUGAAGAGUUGGCAAAAUGGCCGCAGAACAUGGACGUACUAGUACAAUAACUACAAUUACAGAGACACUAUCUAAAUACCUCUCUUGACUUUGGCAACGUUUAAUAACCGUCGAAAUCCUUAACAUAGUUCUUCUUGUCCUGGCAC
rnacentral:sRNA from 2 species